UUGCAACCACCAGCUGAUUGCAGUAAUCAAAUAAACCAAAGUAACAAAUACUGCAGGUAUCCACAGCUUGAAAUGUUUCGUCAUGUUUAGUCCAGUGAACUUCUCUACGUAUAUAAAACCCAACAUACAUCCCACCAACCAACAGGUGGCGACAUCCUACAGAAGCCACCCCUUGAGGGGUGACCAAUAAUGAACUCCAAUAUGCGUGUAACAUUAAAAACAUGACUACAUGAAGGUACCACCUCCCCGAAGGCAGCAAGGCCCCACAAGCCAUUAUGUUUUCAAAAAAUAGAAAAAUUAGACUACAAGCUUCAGUUAACAAAAAGGAAUUGAAUCAGUAGGAUAAAUAUAGCCUACACACACCCCCUAACAUACAGUAAGCAUGUGUGAGCAUUUUAAGAAGCAGAGGUAAGGGAAAGAUCCACAAGAAAGCUUCUGCUGUUCAGUCAUCUCCAGGGAUUAAAGCAAACUAAGUGCCUUCCUAUCAAAGAGCCAGCAGCCACCAGAAAACUUUCAGAUGCUAAACUAACACAACCUGUCCUGCAGUCAGAGGAAGAUUAUGCAAGUAACUGCCAGAUAAGUAAGGAUAUACUAUGAAAUACUCCUUUUUUGGACAUGGUUUAAUUUUUCUUUUUUUUAAACAUUCCAAGAUGAAAUGCU